UUCUUGCAAAGCUUUUACCUUUGGGCCAAUCCUUUGUAGUUUGAAAGGUUCUCUUACCUUGAUCCUUUUAAGUUUGGAGGUGAACAUGUAAUUAUCUUUUUCUUUUUUCCCAAAAGCCCAGCAUUUCAGCUGGAGAGUGGUAGCUGUCCCUAAAGAAAUACCUUGAGCAGGGAUGAGCUGUUUAAGGUUUUUUAGUUUUCCCUGUUGUGGUUUGUUUGGGGUUUUUUUUUAACUCUUUCUUGCCUGCUUCCUGGGACAGAGAAAAAAGUUAUGGAGCUCUGGACGGCUGGCAGAAACCUCCCCAAGCCCAAGGCUGAUGGAGUCUGGCAGGAUCCCAGCACUACAGCCGAUAGAUGAGCUUCAUCCACCUAAAUUCAAUCCCCAACCACCAAAGGAGAUGAGAACAUGUUUGGAUUGCCCAGCGUCUCGAUGGAGGCACUUCAAGGCUGGAAAGCAGGAGGCAGCCACAGCCCUGACUGAAGAGCAGGAUUUGACCCAGUCUUCAGGAGUAGAGGCUUCCAGUAUCCUGCCAGUGUCAGGUGUGCUGCAGCCAGGAGAGAGCCAGCAGGUCUCCUUGCCCUUCUCUGGCCACCUCAACAGCAUCUCCAGUGCCACGGCGCUGUGCCACGUGGAGGGAGGCCCC